GGCCGGUUCUCUGUUGGCUCUCUGAGUCGAUUUAGGACCUAGUCAUCCGUAUGGGAAACUAGCUCGGCCUUCGCUGGUCGGCUAGUGGAUCAUACACUUUACUUUGAAAAAAUUAGAGUGUUUCAGGCAGGCAAUUGCUUGGAUAUUUCAGCAUGGAAUAGGACUUUGAUCUAUUUAUUAGUUUCUUGAGGUCAAAGUA
rnacentral:rRNA from 1 species